rnacentral:rRNA from 1 species
UACGUAGGGUGCGAGCGUUGUCCGGAAUCAUUGGGCAUAAAGGGCUCGUAGGCGGUCCAUCGCGUCGGGAGUGAAACGCUGGGGCUUAACCCCAGUCCUGCUUUCGAUACGGGUGGACUAGAGGUAGGCAGGGGAGAAUGGAAUUCCUGGUGUAGCGGUGAAAUGCGCAGAUAUCAGGAGGAACACCGGUGGCGAAGGCGGUUCUCUGGGCCUAAUCUGACGCUGAGGAGCGAAAGCGUGGGGAGCAAACAGG